rfam:Sorghum bicolor cultivar BTx623 chromosome 9, whole genome shotgun sequence.
AUUCCAUGAUGUGGACAUUCUUGGAUGUAGUCUUGGAAGCGCACCCAUGCUUCUAGAACGGAUUCAUCAUGUUGUUGCUGAAAACUUGUAAUCUUCCAACGGAGAGC